CUACAGGCUUUUUUGGAAGCCAUAACGCUGUGAGAAAAAAAAAUAUU
rfam:Ixodes scapularis strain Wikel colony gcontig_1107729127446, whole genome shotgun sequence.